rnacentral:snRNA from 1 species
GGAUGUGAGAGCAAUCUGGUUGUGACAUCUGUCACCCCACUGAUCGCCAGGGUUGAUAGGCGGGUGGCCCCUUCCUCCCUCACCACACCGUGUGUGUCCCUCCCCCUCCUGAAGCACGACGUUCCCAAUAAAGGAGGACCAUUCGUCUUCAGUCAAGGGUAUAUGAGUAGCUGCGCUCCCCUGUUAGAACCUCCAAACAAGCUCUCAAAAUCAAGGUGUCAGCAAGGCCGCAUUCCCUUCUGAAGGCUCUAGGGGAGGAUCUGUUCCUUCUUAUUUGGGUUAUUAGCAGAAUUCAAUUCCUU